AACGCGAAGAACCUUACCUGGGCUCGAAGCGCAGUGGACCGGGGUAGAAAUAUCCCUUUUCGCAAGAACUGCUGCGGAGGUGCUGCAUGGCUGUCGUCAGCUCGUGUCGUGAGAUGUUGGGUUAAGUCCCGCAACGAGCGCAACCCUUAUCGUCUGUUACUAACGCGUCAUGGCGAGGACUCGGGCGAAACUGCCUGGGAUAACCAGGAGGAAGGUGGGGAUGACGUCAAGUCCUCAUGGCCUUUAUGUCCAGGGCUACACACGUGCUACAAUGGCCGGUACAAACCGUCGCAAACCCGUGAGGGGGAGCUAAUCGGAAAAAGCCGGCCUCAGUUCGGAUUGGAGUCUGCAACUCGACUCCAUGAAGCUGGAAUCGCUAGUAAUCGCGGAUCAGAACGCCGCGGUGAAUACGUUCCCGGGCCUUGUA
rnacentral:rRNA from 1 species